UACGUAGGGUGCGAGCGUUUGUCCGGAAUUAUUGGGCGUAAAGAGCUCGUAGGCGGCCUGUUGCGUCCGCUGUGAAAUCCCGGGGCUCAACCCUGGGCGUGCAGUGGAUACGGGCAGGCUGGAGGCAGGCAGGGGAGAACGGAAUUCCUGGUGUAGCGGUGGAAUGCGCAGAUAUCAGGAGGAACACCGGUGGCGAAGGCGGGUCUCUGGGCAGUAACUGACGCUGAGGAGCGAAAGCGUGGGGAGCGAACAGG
rnacentral:rRNA from 1 species